GUGGGGAAUAUUGGACAAUGGGCGGAAGCCUGAUCCAGCAACGCCGCGUGAGGGAUGACUGCCUUCGGGUUGUAAACCUCUUUCGGUGGGGACGAAGCGCAAGUGACGGUACCCACUAAAGAAGCACCGGCCAACUACGUGCCAGCAGCCGCGGUAAUACGUAGGGUGCGAGCGUUGUCCGGAAUUAUUGGGCGUAAAGGGCUCGUAGGCGGUUUGUCGCGUCGGGAGUGAAAACGCCGUGCUUAACACGGCGCUUGCUUUCGAUACGGGCAGACUAGAGGUAUUCAGGGGAGAACGGAAUUCCUGGUGUAGCGGUGAAAUGCGCAGAUAUCAGGAGGAACACCGGUGGCGAAGGCGGUUCUCUGGGAAUGACCUGACGCUGAGGAGCGAAAGUGUGGGGAGCGAACAGGAUUAGAAACCCUAGUAGUCC
rnacentral:rRNA from 1 species